rnacentral:rRNA from 2 species
GGGUUGUGAGGUUAAGCGACUAAGCGUACACGGUGGAUGCCCUGGCAGUCAGAGGCGAUGAAGGGCGUGCUAAUCUGCGAUAAGCGCCGGUAAGGUGAUAUGAACCGUUAUAACCGGCGAUACCCGAAUGGGGAAACCCAGUGUGAUUCGUCACACUAUCAUUAACUGAAUCCAUAGGUUAAUGAGGCGAACCGGGGGAACUGAAACAUCUAAGUACCCCGAGGAAAAGAAAUCAACCGAGAUUCCCCCAGUAGCGGCGAGCGAACGGGGAGGAGCCCAGAGCCUGAAUCAGCAUGUGUGUUAGUGGAAGCGUCUGGAAAGGCGCGCGAUACAGGGUGACAGCCCCGUACACAAAAGCGCAUGUGCUGUGAGCUCGAUGAGUAGGGCGGGACACGUGGUAUCCUGUCUGAAUAUGGGGGGACCAUCCUCCAAGGCUAAAUACUCCUGACUGACCGAUAGUGAACCAGUACCGUGAGGGAAAGGCGAAAAGAACCCCGGCGAGGGGAGUGAAAAAGAACCUGAAACCGUGUACGUACAAGCAGUGGGAGCACAGGUUUACCUGUGUGACUGCGUACCUUUUGUAUAAUGGGUCAGCGACUUAUAUUCUGUAGCAAGGUUAACCGUAUAGGGGAGCCGUAGGGAAACCGAGUCUUAACCGGGCGUUAAGUUGCAGGGUAUAGACCCGAAACCCGGUGAUCUAGCCAUGGGCAGGUUGAAGGUUGGGUAACACUAACUGGAGGACCGAACCGACUAAUGUUGAAAAAUUAGCGGAUGACCUGUGGCUGGGGGUGAAAGGCCAAUCAAACCGGGAGAUAGCUGGUUCUCCCCGAAAGCUAUUUAGGUAGCGCCUCGUGAAUUCAUCUCCGGGGGUAGAGCACUGUUUCGGCUAGGGGGCCAUCCCGGCUUACCAACCCGAUGCAAACUGCGAAUACCGGAGAAUGUUAUCACGGGAGACACACGGCGGGUGCUAACGUCCGUCGUGAAGAGGGAAACAACCCAGACCGCCAGCUAAGGUCCCAAAGUCAUGGUUAAGUGGGAAACGAUGUGGGAAGGCCCAGACAGCCAGGAUGUUGGCUUAGAAGCAGCCAUCAUUUAAAGAAAGCGUAAUAGCUCACUGGUCGAGUCGGCCUGCGCGGAAGAUGUAACGGGGCUAAACCAUGCACCGAAGCUGCGGCAGCGAACGUAUCACUUAAAGCGAUUCAGCGGGUUACGAUUGACGGAGCGAAGCGACGUCAAAGCGUAUACAAAGUCGAGUCGGUUUAAGGAUACGUUCGUUGGGUAGGGGAGCGUUCUGUAAGCCUGUGAAGGUGGCCUGUGAGGGUUGCUGGAGGUAUCAGAAGUGCGAAUGCUGACAUAAGUAACGAUAAAGCGGGUGAAAAGCCCGCUCGCCGGAAGACCAAGGGUUCCUGUCCAACGUUAAUCGGGGCAGGGUGAGUCGACCCCUAAGGCGAGGCCGAAAGGCGUAGUCGAUGGGAAACGGGUUAAUAUUCCCGUACUUGGUGUUACUGCGAAGGGGGGACGGAGAAGGCUAUGUUGGCCGGGCGACGGUUGUCCCGGUUUAAGCGUGUAGGCUGGUUUUCCAGGCAAAUCCGGAAAAUCAAGGCUGAGGCGUGACGACGAGGCACUACGGUGCUGAAGCAACAAAUGCCCUGCUUCCAGGAAAAGCCUCUAAGCAUCAGGUAACAUCAAAUCGUACCCCAAACCGACACAGGUGGUCAGGUAGAGAAUACCAAGGCGCUUGAGAGAACUCGGGUGAAGGAACUAGGCAAAAUGGUGCCGUAACUUCGGGAGAAGGCACGCUGACACGUAGGUGAAGUGAUUUACUCACGGAGCUGAAGUCAGUCGAAGAUACCAGCUGGCUGCAACUGUUUAUUAAAAACACAGCACUGUGCAAACACGAAAGUGGACGUAUACGGUGUGACGCCUGCCCGGUGCCGGAAGGUUAAUUGAUGGGGUCAGCGCAAGCGAAGCUCCUGAUCGAAGCCCCGGUAAACGGCGGCCGUAACUAUAACGGUCCUAAGGUAGCGAAAUUCCUUGUCGGGUAAGUUCCGACCUGCACGAAUGGCGUAAUGAUGGCCAGGCUGUCUCCACCCGAGACUCAGUGAAAUUGAACUCGCUGUGAAGAUGCAGUGUACCCGCGGCAAGACGGAAAGACCCCGUGAACCUUUACUAUAGCUUGACACUGAACAUUGAGCCUUGAUGUGUAGGAUAGGUGGGAGGCUUUGAAGCGUGGACGCCAGUCUGCGUGGAGCCGACCUUGAAAUACCACCCUUUAAUGUUUGAUGUUCUAACGUGGACCCGUGAUCCGGGUUGCGGACAGUGUCUGGUGGGUAGUUUGACUGGGGCGGUCUCCUCCUAAAGAGUAACGGAGGAGCACGAAGGUUGGCUAAUCCUGGUCGGACAUCAGGAGGUUAGUGCAAUGGCAUAAGCCAGCUUGACUGCGAGCGUGACGGCGCGAGCAGGUGCGAAAGCAGGUCAUAGUGAUCCGGUGGUUCUGAAUGGAAGGGCCAUCGCUCAACGGAUAAAAGGUACUCCGGGGAUAACAGGCUGAUACCGCCCAAGAGUUCAUAUCGACGGCGGUGUUUGGCACCUCGAUGUCGGCUCAUCACAUCCUGGGGCUGAAGUAGGUCCCAAGGGUAUGGCUGUUCGCCAUUUAAAGUGGUACGCGAGCUGGGUUUAGAACGUCGUGAGACAGUUCGGUCCCUAUCUGCCGUGGGCGCUGGAGAACUGAGGGGGGCUGCUCCUAGUACGAGAGGACCGGAGUGGACGCAUCACUGGUGUUCGGGUUGUCAUGCCAAUGGCACUGCCCGGUAGCUAAAUGUGGAAGAGAUAAGUGCUGAAAGCAUCUAAGCACGAAACUUGCCCCGAGAUGAGUUCUCCCUGAGACUUAGAGUCUCCUGAAGGAACGUUGAAGACGACGACGUUGAUAGGCCGGGUGUGUAAGCGCAGCGAUGCGUUGAGCUAACCGGUACUAAUGAACCGUGAGGCUUAACCUUACAACGCCGAAG